rnacentral:rRNA from 1 species
CCUACGGGAGGCAGCAGUGGGGAAUAUUGCACAAUGGGGGAAACCCUGAUGCAGCGACGCCGCGUGAAGGAAGAAGUAUUUCGGUAUGUAAACUUCUAUCAGCAGGGAAGAAAAUGAUGGUACCUGACUAAGAAGCCCCGGCUAACUACGUGCCAGCAGCCGCGGUACUACGUAGGGGGCAAGCGUUAUCCGGAUUUACUGGGUGUAAAGGGAGCGUAGGCGGUUUAGCAAGUCAGAAGUGAAAGCCCGGGGCUCAACUCCGGGACUGCUUUUGAAACUGUUGAACUAGAUUGCAGGAGAGGUAAGUGGAAUUCCUAGUGUAGCGGUGAAAUGCGUAGAUAUCAGGAGGAACACCAGUGGCGAAGGCGGCUUACUGGACUGUAAAUGACGCUGAGGCUCGAAAGCGUGGGGAGCAAACAGGAUUAGAUACCCGUGUAGUC